rnacentral:rRNA from 1 species
UGGGGAAUAUUGGACAAUGGGCGCAAGCCUGAUCCAGCCAUGCCGCGUGAGUGAUGAAGGCCCUAGGGUUGUAAAGCUCUUUCACCGGUGAAGAUAAUGACGGUAACCGGAGAAGAAGCCCCGGCUAACUUCGUGCCAGCAGCCGCGGUAAUACGAAGGGGGCUAGCGUUGUUCGGAUUUACUGGGCGUAAAGCGCACGUAGGCGGACUAUUAAGUCAGGGGUGAAAUCCCGGGGCUCAACCCCGGAACUGCCUUUGAUACUGGUAGUCUUGAGUUCGAGAGAGGUGGGUGGAAUUCCGGGUGUAGAGGUGAAAUUCGUAGAUAUUCGGAGGAACACCAGUGGCGAAGGCGGCUCACUGGCUCGAUACUGACGCUGAGGUGCGAAAGCGUGGGGAGCAAACAGG